CGGCGGCUGGGCAGGGUCGGUGCUGCCGCGUCGUCGGCGGCGGGACGGGCGGUCACCCGACGGAUGUUCGGCGCACCCGCACUCGCCC
rnacentral:tRNA from 1 species